rnacentral:rRNA from 1 species
GACGAACGCUGGCGGCGUGCUUAACACAUGCAAGUCGAACGGAAAGGCCCUGCUGUUGUGGGCUGCUCGAGUAGUGAACGGUUGAGUAACACGUUCUUAUCCUGCCCUUGUCUUUGGUAUUACUUCAGGUAACUGGUGCUACUACCUGCUAGGAGCUCCUGCUGCAUGGUGUGGGUUGGAGAGUUUCUGCGUUAUUGGUUGGAUUCGCGGCUUCUCAGCCUGUUGUUGGGGUCGUGGCUUACCAAGGCUUUGACGGGUAGACGGCCUGAGAGGGUGACCGGACACAUUAGGACUGAGAUGCGGCCCAGACUCCUACGGGAGGCAGGAGUGGGGAAUAUAGCACAAUGGGCGGAAGCCUGAUGCAACAAAGCCGCGUGCGGGAUGACGGCAUUCGGGUUGGAAACCGAAUUCGCCUGUGACGAAGCGUGAGUGACGGUAAUGGGUAAAGAAGCACCGGCUAACUACGUG